AAAUUGAAGAGUUUGAUCAUGGCUCAGAUUGAACGCUGGCGGCAGGCCUAACACAUGCAAGUCGAGCGGAAACGAGUUAUCUGAACCUUCGGGGAACGAUAACGGCGUCGAGCGGCGGACGGGUGAGUAAUGCCUAGGAAAUUGCCCUGGUGUGGGGGAUAACCAUUGGAAACGAUGGCUAAUACCGCAUAACACCUACGGGUCAAAGAGGGGGACCUUCGGGCCUCUCGCGUCAGGAUAUGCCUAGGUGGGAUUAGCUAGUUGGUGAGGUAAUGGCUCACCAAGGCGACGAUCCCUAGCUGGUCUGAGAGGAUGAUCAGCCACACUGGAACUGAGACACGGUCCAGACUCCUACGGGAGGCAGCAGUGGGGAAUAUUGCACAAUGGGCGCAAGCCUGAUGCAGCCAUGCCGCGUGUGUGAAGAAGGCCUUCGGGUUGUAAAGCACUUUCAGUCGUGAGGAAGGUGGUAGUGUUA
rnacentral:rRNA from 1 species